ACUCAAAUGAAUUGACGGGAGCCCGCACAAGCGGUGGAGCGUGUGGUUUAAUUCGAUGGUAAGCGAGGAACCUUACCAGGUCUAGAAAUCUGGCUGCACACCCGAUGAAAGUCGGGAGCCUACGAGGGUGCCAGACAGGUGCUGCACGGUUGUCGUCAGCUCGUGUUGUGAAAUGUUCCCUUCAGUGGGGUAACGAGCGCAACCCUCAUUGCGUGUUGAAUGUCACGCGAGACUGCCGUGGUUAACACGGAGGAAGGUGGGGAUGACGUCAAAUCAGCGUGGUCCUCUGACGACCUGGGCGACACACGCGCUACAAUGGCUGGGACAAUGAGCUUUUUGCAAACCCGCGAGGGGGAGCUAAUCUCCUAAACCCAGUCUCAGUUCGGAUUGGAGUCUGCAACUCGACUCCAUGAAGCUGGAAUCGCUAGUAACCGUGGAUCAGCCUCGCCACGGUGAAUACGUUCUCGGGCUUUGUACACACCGCCCGU
rnacentral:rRNA from 1 species